GUUAUACUGUGAUAUUUAAAUGUUCCCUUAAUUCUUUUGAGCAGUGUAUAUAUAAAACUCCCUGGCAAGGUAGGAAUAUUAAAUGUCUCCAAACCUUGGUUAAAUGAAAAAUAAUUGACGAAUGGGGACAGAAUGUGGUUGGAAUAAAUGGGGUUAAAAUAAAUGGUAUGCACACGUAGAGGAUCAAGAGCAGACUUGAAGGAAAUCAAGUUGUUUGUUUGGCCUUAUAAGGCAAGACAUGUUGUAACUCACCCAAGCAAGUUACUCAGGAAUGUUGCCCAGAAAAAGCAAGGCACGGGAAAGACAUUUCUAAGAACCACAGUAUUCCACAGUGUGAUUGAUGUGUAGACUGAGAAGGUAGAGUUUAAUGAAUUAUAAAUGUUAAAACAGGACCUGAGUCGAGGAGGAGUGGUCUACAGAAAUCAUUAACAAUAGUGGGUGUGGAGGGUAGUAGUUUCACUGCACUCAAAUCUGGAGCUUCUUUCAUUUUCAGUGACUUACUUUCAAUGUGAUCUGAUAACAAUCAACUCGGAGACAGCUCAAGAAAAUGUACAACUAAAUCUCUGAAGUACAAUGGGAUAUUUUAACCCAAGUCUAUUGAAACUAAAGAGGAAGCAGUAAACAACUAGCAGCUGUGACCUAAAACUUGAAGAAAAGAGGAUAAUUAAAGGAAAAUAUCAGCAGUAAUCCCCAUACCUGUCUAUCAUUGGUGCGGAUUUUAGGUAAAAUUGAAAGUAGACAAACAUCUCCAGAGCUGCACAGUGAAAUUCAAGCUUAGAGUAGUAUACAUAGCACCGUGUACUCCGUCUGAACCCUGGCGAGUCUCCCCAGAGAUGUCGGCUCAAUCAGAACCAAGGGCUGAUCUUCAACUGGCUGCUGUCACAGGAAAUGAUGAAGAAAAACAGGCCCUAAAUGACACCCCUGGCAUUCAAGUAGACAAUGGCUGUAGCCAUGCCGAUGCCGUUCUCUCAUGUGGCGCUCACAGGGACUUCAGAAAACUAGCCAUCUGCAGCAUUAUCUGUGGAUUUUCCUGCAUCGGCAUUUUUUCUUUGAUAAACUCAGUCAAGGCUAAGGAGACAAGAAAAACGGAUCCAGAAAAAGCUCAGCUCUAUUCCCAAAAGGCAAAAAAAAUUGGGAUAAUUUCAAUUGUGGUGUGGGUGGCCAUUUUGAUACUCAUCCCAGUACUUACAGUACUUGUGUCCUACCUACUGACAUUUAUAGACUGACCAAUUUCCUGGAACCUCCAACAUUAGAAAGAUACAUACAGGACAACUGUCCAACUUCUUCAAGAAACAUUUGUUACAUUUUCUUUAUCCAAUAGUGAGGAGAGUUUUGCCGAAGAAGCACUUGACCGGAUCUGACCACAUGCUGAAGCAGUAAAUGUCCAACAGACGCAGCUUAGAUUGCUGGGCAACACUUCCAAACUUAAAACUGUAAUGGCACUGUGAGGCAGUCAACAACAAAAACUAACCUCCAGAUAGCCCGGCUGAGUAUAAAUCUGAUAGUCUUGCUGCUAUCUACAAAGGCAUGUCUCAUUUGUCUCCCACUAAACAUUCCACUGAAUUUCACAUUCAGUAGUCAAACUGAAGAGGUCAUUAAGAGGCUGUUAUGUGCAAACGGCCAAAAACACAAGUUACUUUGAUACAGAAUUUAAUGGACAAAAUCUCAUUGCUAACAUUCAUGCGUUUAAUACUGAACAAAGCAAAAGGUAAGUCCAGUAUGAACAUAAUACAAAACCUGCAUAAAGGCCUGACUAGAUCUUUUUAAGAAUAGCACACUUUCAGCUGCUUGAUAAUUGCUAUGCAAUUAACUAAAUGGAAAUGUCAAAGGGACAGAUUGUUAACUAGGUAAAAUGAAAUUGGGGCAGUGUUUUUGCUUUAAACUGUGAAAACUGUUAAACCUUUGACUAAAGUUACCAAACCUUUAUAAAACUUAUUUUCGAUUACAUUACUAUUUCUGUUAACUGUUGUUACUUUAUUGUGUUUACACAAGUAGUUCAAAGAAUUUUGUAAUAAAAUUAAUAUACAUUUGCUCAGAUUCCCCCCCUCCCCAUUUACAUUAUUUGAAGUAGCUACAUAUAAUCUUUACUCACUAUGAAGCAACUCUCUAGCUGUAAAAA